ensembl:lncRNA
CACAGCGCCACUUAUUGUUCUAGAAAUAUACGUUUUUUGUAAAAACACAUAAUUUUUGAAAACAUUGUCCAAAAUUUGUUGCUUUGCUGUUAUUACAUGUGUAGAGCACUGUGAUGAAUGACAAGCAUCAAGUCUAAAGGUCCUGGGUUCAAUUCCCAUGUGGUGCAAGUUCUUAAAAUUUUGUGUAAUGUUGUGCCUUUUGUUUCCUUUCUUUUGUGGCUUAGCAUUGCACUAACCUUUCAACCUCUUGGUAUGCAUGUAAUUGCCUCUGUUCUUUUAAUUUCCUGAUCAAUCUGUUUCUCAGCUAUGCUUCUGAUCUUUUAUUCAUUCAUGUACAUUCUAUUUCUCAUCUUCGUGUUCUUUGGGUUCUGCAUUGCUGCACCUUUGGUGCUUGGCUCCAUUAAAUUUUGCUUGCGGCUUUAAUUAGGAUUUUCUCUGUCGGGAGUCUGAGAGAACGAGUAUUAUUGUCCAGCCAAUAAUAAGAUUUACGCUUUGGUUGUUUCUGCUUGAAAGGAACAAUAGAAUCUAAAAUAUUAGAGCCAAAUGUGUAAAAUAACGUAAUCAUCAGGCCCAGAAGAAGACUCUGCAGCACUCAAGAUAGAUGUUUCAACAGCAUUAGCUAGAUAACCUGCACUAAACUGAGAGGCAGUGAGUGAAAUAAUAAAACGGGAGUAAUAAACAAAAGGCCUACAGGACAUUAAAAACAAUGGGCUUAUGAUCAGAGACGGAAGCAUUUUCAAUAUUAACAUUAUCAACUGGGAUAAGCAAGUAGAAGCAACAUCACUCCGUCAUCAACCAGCCACGCACAGGAGCCCCUCACAAGAUUUCUGGCCAGGGAGUCAGAAGAAUAGUUAGAAGAGUAGCCCACGAGUCAAGGACCAUUCGGAAAGAGCUCCAGAAACAGUUGGAGGCAGCAGGUACCAUCGUUACUGUGACAGAGGGCUCUGUCACAAUUGCGGCAGCACUACAUUUAUAUGCACAAAUAAUCAACUACCCACCCGUUUUCCGGUUUACCCUACCCUUGGGUGCACACUAGGGCAGGUUAAUGCACCAACUGCAUACAUUACACACACAUAUCCACUCCAUUAUUG